UACGUAGGGUGCAAGCGUUGUCCGGAAUUAUUGGGCGUAAAGAGCUCGUAGGCGGUUUGUUGCGUCGGCUGUGAAAUCCCGAGGCUCAACCUCGGGUCUGCAGUCGAUACGAGCAAACUAGAGUGUUGCAGGGGAGACUGGAAUUCCUGGUGUAGCGGUGAAAUGCGCAGAUAUCAGGAGGAACACCGGUGACGAAGGCGGGUCUCUGGGCAGCAACUGACGCUGAGGAGCGAAAGCGUGGGGAGCGAACAGG
rnacentral:rRNA from 1 species